UAAAAUGUUAAUAAUAUACACUAUAUUGCCAAAAGUAUUGGCUCACCCAUCCAAAUAAUCAGAAUCAGAUGUCCCAAUCACUUCUAUGGCCACAGGUGUACAAAAUCAAGCACCUAGAGAUGCAGACUGCUUUUACAAACAUUUGUGAAAGAAUGGGUCGCUCUCAGAAGCUCAAUGAAUUCCAGCGUGGAACUGUGAUAGGAUGCCACCUGUGCAACAAAUCCAGUGGUGAAAUUUCCUCACU